GUGGGGAAUUGUUCGCAAUGGGCGCAAGCCUGACGACGCAACGCCGCGUGGAGGAUGAAGACCUUCGGGUCGUAAACUCCUUUCGACCGAGAUGAAUUCCCGCCGGCCUAACAUGCCGGCGGGUUGACAGUAUCGAGGGAAGCAGCCCCGGCUAACUCCGUGCCAGCAGCCGCGGUAAUACGGGGGGGGCAAGCGUUGUUCGGAAUUACUGGGCGUAAAGGGUUCGUAGGUGGCUUUCUAAGUCAGACGUGAAAUCCCUCAGCUUAACUGGGGAACUGCGUCUGAGACUGGCGAGCUUGAGUGCAGGAGAGGAAUGCGGAAUUCCAGGUGUAGCGGUGAAAUGCGUAGAUAUCUGGAGGAACACCGGUGGCGAAGGCGGCGUUCUGGACUGCAACUGACACUGAGGAACGAAAGCCAGGGGAGCAAACGGGAUUAGAUACCCCUGUAGUCC
rnacentral:rRNA from 1 species